GUGUUACCACGAGUUCCCUUCAAGCACUUCAUGAGGCACCAUUAAAUAACUCUAUUUAAGAUUAGGUGUAAUAUGAAGUGUUUGGGGGAACUCUUGGUGAUAC
rnacentral:pre_miRNA from 1 species